CUUUCAUGGAUCCGAAUGUUCCCCCUGGGCCUGAUGCUCCCCCGGCGCCCGAUGCUCACCCGGGUCCUGAUGAUCACCCGGGGCCCGCUGAUAGAUUAGUAUUGUCUUUGCAAGACAAUCAUAGGUCAGAGUUAUUAUGGGCCAGUACUAUAAGGAUAUCUACUAGGCUCCGUCCCCGUAGGCUGCAGAGAGCGUGGACUCUUUUACGCGAGCACCCCCCACACCCUCGCGUGUUGGAGAUGUUGUUUCGGGGCGGCAUCUACCGUUGCGUGUUCGUUGGUCGAGUACAGUAUGACUGGGCACUCAUCACGGCCAUGGUUGAGCGGUGGAGGCCAGAGACACAUACCUUCCAUCUUCGCACUGGUGAGGCCACGAUUACACUUCAGGAUGUGGAGGUCCUCUUCAGAUUGAGGAUAGAUGGAGAGCCACUACACACUCGGUAUGAGCCUCCUCCUGGUCAGACGUAGGCGACAGAGUUUACUAGGCUCACCGACUUCGUGCCUGAUGCCGAGGGCCAGAUUUCGGGACAAAGUCGGGUUAAGAUUAGUGCACUCUGCACUUAUUUGAUCGUCAUGCCCGUUUGUACCUGCUUAUUAUAUUCGGGGGCAUCUUGUUCCCGAACUCAUCGAGUGCUUUUGUCAGCUACAUUAUUUGGUUUUCUUAGAGCAUCUGGACUGCCUGGGAGACUACAACUGGGGUGGUGCUGUUUUGGCGUAUCUUUACAGAUGCCUGUGCCGAGCGUCUGUUAGUGUUGUCAGAGAUGUGUGUGGAUUUUUUGCUCUUCUCCAGGAGUGGGAGAAGAUGCUGCCUUUUUAGCCUGUACCCAGGCAUCACCUCGAGAUCGACAUGGCUUAUGCGAGGAGGUGGACAGCGGGUUUUGACCGGGAUGUGGACUAGCUUGAUCACAUGAUGGACAAUGCGAUGGUUUGCCCCCCUUCUGUAGGGCAGGUCAGGGGGUUUGGAGGUCGCGGUGUCCAUUGAUACACCUGGACAUCGUAGAGGAUCACAUGCCCGAGCGUGUCUUACGACAGUUUGGGCAUACACAGAGUAUACCCCCUGACGUCCAUCAUGAGCUCCGACACUACCAGCGGGACGAUCGGGCUGCCGUUGAUGAUAUUUUUCUGGCUUUCAUGGAUGUCCAGCUCCUCCGUUGGGAGAACAGGUUGGGCACUUUAGCGGUGGUCGGCCAUUUGACUCCCAUUGAGCAUUACAUGCGCUGGUAUCAUCAGAUCACACGCCGAUUGAUCGGCAACCCAACUUUGCGUCCCCCUAGGGAUGUAGGAUACUCAGCAUUCGCGGGGCAAUACGAGGCAUUGCUGGUGGCCAUACAACGUUUACGCAUCUUGGGUUAGAGCAUAUGCCUUACCCUGGGCUUGCGGGGCUUGCCGCGGAGAUGAUACGGAUAUUCGAGGAUGGUAUCGGGCAGGUAGGCGAGAUUAGGCGCAGGGAAGAGCCUGCUCCGGAGGCUGAGUAUUAGGCAACGCCAAGAGGAGGACCGGGUGCUCCUAAAGGACGAGGCCGUGCUGGCAGAGGACGCCGUGCUGCCAGAGGACGCCGUGCGCAUAGAGGAUGCGGCGCUGUUGCUAAAGGACCUGGUCGUGGGGGACACCAUCUAGUAGAUGAGGCGGAUGAGGCCGAUCCCAUUCCUGAGGGCGUUCACGGUCUAGUCCAUCCGCAGCCGUUCCAGGCCGGUGGCAGCUCACCUGGGGACUCACCUACGUUUACGCUGGCGCUCUUACUUGCUGAGAUACCCGGGUCUUCAUCACAGCCGAGCCAGAAUGCAUACAUGGAGGAGCGUGAUAACGUUGAUUGGGCGGCGUUACGUGCUUCAUUAGCUGAUAAGCGGUUUGUGAGGAAUUUAGAGGGAGCCACGAUUCUUGACUUCGAUGAGUUUUUGAUCCCGGAUUAGGCGCCAGCGGGUCCACCAGAGUCACCCACUCAGGCGUUUUCUCAUGGGUCUGCCGAGCCAGCGGUGUCUUCCCAUAUGACUACCGAGUCACAGGAUUCGGCGCCAGUGGGUCCACAGGAGCUACCCAUUCAGGAGCAUUCUCAUCAGCCUGCCGAGACAGAGGUGUCUUCUCAUGAGACUACCAAGGCGCAUGUUCAUCCUUCGGCGCCUGCGGUGGCAACUCCUGACGAGGAAGAGGUCGAGUUUCCAGACCUAACUUAGCUUGAGGUUCUGAGUGUGCCAGCGGGACUAGAUCCCAAGAAGAAACACGCUCUAGUUAAGGGCGCAAGGGCUAGGGGAAGAGGAGAUGAUCAUGACUUCGAGCGCCCGGUUAUUAAGAGAAAAAAGGGCGAUGGAGACGAUGGCGAGGGUGGUGGGGAUGGUAUGAGCCUUAGGCUUAGGGAUAGUCUCUGGCAUGCAUGUGGGACCCAUCCUCGAUAGUGUAUAUACAUUAGUGUUGUACAAUUUAUCGUAAAUAUUAUAUAUUUUUUGCAUAUUUAUAAAUAUUAUCUUAGUCU